CCCAGACUCCUACGGGAGGCAGCAGUGGGGAAUAUUGCACAAUGGGGGGAACCCUGAUGCAGCGACGCCGCGUGGGCGAGGAAGUAUUUCGGUAUGUAAAGCCCUAUCGGCAGGGAAGAAGAAAUGACGGUACCUGAAUAAGAAGCACCGACUAAAUACGUGCCAGCAGCCGCGGUAAUACGUAUGGUGCAAGCGUUAUCCGGAUUUACUGGGCGUAAAGGGAGCGCAGGCGGCGCGCCAAGUCUGAUGUGAAACCCCGGGGCUCAACCCCGGGCAUGCAUUGGAAACUGGCGGGCUGGAGUGUCGGAGAGGCAGGCGGAAUUCCUAGUGUAGCGGUGAAAUGCGUAGAUAUUAGGAGGAACACCAGUGGCGAAGGCGGCCUGCUGGACGAUGACUGACGUUGAGGCUCGAAAGCGUGGGGAGCAAACAGGAUUAGAUACCCCAGUAAAC
rnacentral:rRNA from 1 species